UAUGUCAGGGGUGUCCCUGCAUGGAGGCCUAGAGAGGCCAAUAUGUGAAGGUGUGAGGCUUCUGAAGCCUGGAUUUCCUUGGAGACCCCAAGAUGUUUGAGAUGCCAAAGCUGUGGAUCCCCAUUAAGGAAAGCUGCUAACAGGGAGUGGACGCAGCCCAAGAGAAAGAAGUACGCUGCAGUCAACAAAGCUGAGAGGACCGGGAAAACUGAAGAGCCCUUUGAUGUCAGGCAUGGAGGGACCGAGUUGGGUUUUGGUCUUGCUUUGGUCCAGUGUUUAUUUCCUCAUGACACCCUCUUUCCUCCCUUUGCAAAUGGGAAUGUGUAUUCUGUGACAUUGUAUGUGGAAACAUGGAAUUUGAGUUUUGCUUUUACUUGCCCGUUACAAUGGAGAGAUUGCCUUGAGUCUCGGAAGAAAUUUUGGACUUUGACAUAGUCUUGAGACUGUGAUAGCCUACGGGGACUUUUGAAGUUUGACAAAGUGAAUUCGGCUUUAUGAUAUAGCAGCAAGCCUGUGGAGGGCCAGAGAAUGGAAUGUGUGGUUGGAAUCAACCCCCACAGGCUCAUAUAUAUGAGUGCUUGGUCUCCAGUUGGUAGAACUUCUGGAAGGGAUUAGGAGGUGGGGCCUUUUGGAGGAGGUAUGUCACCGGAAGUGGAUUAGAGGUCUCAAAAGCCCACAGAACAUGGACAAGCCUCUCUCUGGGGGUAGUAGAAGACGAGAAAAUGGACAGGACUCUAUUUCUGAUGGAGUGUGCAGAUGGAAUUGGAAACAGACACAAAAGGUUGAGGAGAAUGGAGCCCAUGUGAAGACUGGAGGACAGGGAGUGAUUGGUCAGCUUUUCCUGCCCUUCCCCCACAUUCAGGAGUCCUUUGUGACAGGGAGACAAGGAGCUCUGUGAUGCAGGCCUGGGCCCAGCUGCCAAUUCCAGAGAGAACUCUCAGCGUUCAGUUGCCUGAGAGCAACAGUGCGAUUCAGAUGGAGAAUUUUCUCUCUUCUGGAAAGCGUUGAUCCUUCAUGGCUGACCCCCAGCUUCUCCAAUUGGACGAUGGAUGUGAUCUUUGCCUUUGUGUGUGGGCUGGGGCUCUUCCACCUAUUAUUACCCCUCCUCCACCAGCAGAAAACACCACCACCCAAAGGGUGGUGAAGAUGAAACACAGAAAGGUCAGGAGAAGAAAAUCAGGAUCCUACUUCCUUCCCCUGGCGAGAUGACUUCAACUCCCAUGAUCCCCCAGCCCCAGUGAUAACACCAAUGAGUUGCAGAACCUCCAGCCCCCUGAAGAGGUGACUUCUGGGGAGGAACCCAGAAUUGAAGACACUUCCGGGGAUCACUUCUGUGCUCAGAAUGGAAUGAAGCUAUGGACGUCCAGGGCUGGGUGCUGUGUGGGGAGGGAUGGUGUGGGAGGAAGGAGCACCAUGCUGCCUGGAUUUGGAGGCAAAUUGGUUGUUAGACUUCUCUGAGACAUUUUCUUCUUUCAGAGCACCGGUCUUUCCCUCCCUUCCACAAGGAAGCCCAUGGAAGUUGUUAGAAGUGGAAGCGCUUGGUCCAUAGCACAAUCCUGCCCAACAUGCGCCUCGCUCACGGAUGACUGAGCUCCUAUUUAACUGUUCAUUUCCACUGAAAAAGAGAGUUCGUUCAGUCUCUGGUAAGAUACCGGGUCCCUCCUAUACCCACCAUAACUCCGUCUCCAUUUCCAUCUUCCAGAGGCAGCAGGGAGAAACCGAAAGAAGACAAGGCACUGGUUUUACUUCUGCACAGAAAAAGUUGGUCAUACUGCCUCAACGGCUGUUGUGAAGAUGUGUCGUGAAGAUGAAUCUGGAUACAGACACUGGCGCUCGCUACCUGUUUCCUACUGUUUUGCACCCAAGGAUUUAUCCUUAGACAUCUGCACCUCUGCUUCGUUUGCUUUGUUGGGUGGAUACCUCAAUUCUCCUUUUAUGUAGUUUCCCUGUCUCUCAAAUGAAUAACCAUUGGUUUCUGCUGUACUCCAAAGUCAUCCGUGGUUCUCACGAGCAGAGGUUCUAAUACAGUCCCUCAUCUUGGCAUCUGUAAUAGACUCACGAUGUUAUCCAAGUGCCUGAGGCCUAUGGAGGGAAAGCUCUCUGCUUCGAUCCAAAGGAUGGAGUCCACCUCUUGGAGGAGAUGUGCCAUUGUCUCCUCCACAGUUAAUCUGUUCAGGACAGCUGAUUGCCUGGUCAAGGGAUUAUUCUUCAGGAAAUCAGAUUCAUCGGUGAAAGAGGUGAAAGGAAGAGCUAGCAUGUUAAUGAGACAGUUUCUUUCCCAGAAGUCCUGCACUAAUACCAUCACCCAUGAAGCCGCAGCCACACGGGUGUACAUGGAUGAAUGGAACCAAAGUUGGUAAAACUAGCAACAUGAACUUUCAACAAAGGGAAUCCUGAGCCACCUCUCGACCUGAAGAGAUAAAAGAAGGGUUUGGUGUUGAUGGAGCCUGGGGAGAAUAGAAGCCGUAGAAGAGGAUCUUCUAGAGACUUAUAACUUGUCAAAAUGAUAAGAAAAAACCUGCAGUGUUCACCCCUCAACUGGAUCUUAUCAUCCCCACCUAGACUCAGGGGACAAUAGAGAGUACAAGAGUCUGGGGAAGGGGCGGGGCGCUGCAGAACACGGUCUUUCAGGCUCACAGUGGCUGUGGUCGCCUGCAUAACUUUGGGCUAUCAACAACCUGUCAUGGAGGAGAGAGACUCAAGAGACCCCACCUUUUCCUAAUAAGGCAAAUCAUUAAAAAGGAAAAUCUGCUAGAAGGAAAGCUACUGCCAAGAAAUAAAGUCACUGUCAAAAGGUAAAGUUUCAAACCCUGGGCAAAGGCUGAGGUGCAUAUUUAACACAUCAAAUGUUAACUAUGGCCUCCAGGUUCUCCCAGCAUCCCUCGGUCCCUACCUUAGGUAGGGCUGACAUACCCCACCCUCUACCCUGAACUAUCCAGUCCAGGUGCAGGGCUGCCCUUCCCCGAAAGGCUCAUCCCUAUAGAAUCCAGACAGUUUGGUUACCUACCCCUUUGAACCUUUAGCCUCCUGACUGCUGCACCUGGUUCCCCUCUCUCCUCUCUUCCUUCCCCUCUCUCUCUUCCCACAUGGCCCAGCUCAGUCUGG